GGGAAUAUUGGACAAUGGGGGGAACCCUGAUCCAGCCAUGCCGCGUGUGUGAAGAAGGCCUUAUGGUUGUAAAGCACUUUAAGCGAGGAGGAGGGUACUGGUAUUAAUACUACCAGCUACUGGACGUUACUCGCAGAAUAAGCACCGGCUAACUCUGUGCCAGCAGCCGCGGUAAUACAGAGGGUGCGAGCGUUAAUCGGAUUUACUGGGCGUAAAGCGUGCGUAGGCGGCUAAUUGAGUCGGAUGUGAAAUCCCCGAGCUUAACUUGGGAAUUGCAUUCGAUACUGGUUGGCUAGAGUGUGGGAGAGGAUGGUAGAAUUCCAGGUGUAGCGGCGAAAUGCGUAGAGAUCUGGAGGAAUACCGAUGGCGAAGGCAGCCAUCUGGCCUAACACUGACGCUGAGGUACGAAAGCAUGGGGAGCAA
rnacentral:rRNA from 1 species